rnacentral:rRNA from 1 species
GUAAGGAAUAUUGGUCAAUGGGGGCAACCCUGAACCAGCCAUGCCGCGUGAAGGAUGAAGGCGUUAUGCGUUGUAAACUUCUUUUGUAUGGGAAGAAUGACAGGGAUUCAUCCUUGGAGAGACGGUACCAUACGAAUAAGCACCGGCUAACUCCGUGCCAGCAGCCGCGGUAAUACGGAGGGUGCAAGCGUUAUCCGGAAUCACUGGGUUUAAAGGGUACGUAGGCGGUUAAUUAAGUCAGUAGUGAAAGACUGUCGCUCAACGACGGAUGUGCUAUUGAUACUGGUUAACUUGAAUCAGGUUAGAGUUGGCGGAAUGGGUCAUGUAGCGGUGAAAUGCUUAGAUAUGACUUGGAACACCGAUUGCGAAGGCAGGUGGCUACGAUUUAUUUGACACUGAUGCACGAAAGCAUGGGGAGCAAACAGGAUUAGAUACCCCUGUAGUCC